rnacentral:rRNA from 1 species
UGGUAGUGUAUUGGACAACCAUGGCGAUCACGGGUAACGGGGAAUUAGGGUUCGAUUCCGGAGAGGGAGCCUGAGAAAUGGCUACCACAUCUAAGGAAGGCAGCAGGCGCGUAAAUUACCCAAUCCUAAUUCAGGGAGGUAGUGACAAGAAAUAACAACUCGGGCCUCUUUUGAGGUUACGAGAUUGCAAUGAGGACAAUUUAAACCACUUAUCGAGUAACAAUUGGAGGGCAAGUCUGGUGCCAGCAGCCGCGGUAAUUCCAGCUCCAAUAGCGUAUAUUAAAGUUGUUGCAGUUAAAAAGCUCGUAGUUGAAUUUCUGGCCGGUGCUGUCCUCGGCUCUCGCAGUCGGCUCAGUGCUUGGUCAUCCGUAUGGGAAGCUAGCUCGGCCUUUACUGGUCGGCUAGUGAAUCAUACACUUUACUUUGAAAAAAUUAGAGUGUUUCAGGCAGGCAAUUGCUUGGAUACUGCAGCAUGGAAUAAUGGAAUAGGACUUUGACCUGUUUGUUGGUUUCUUGUGGUCGAAGUAAUGAUUAAUAGGGACAGUUGGGGGCAUUCGUAUUUAAUUGUCAGAGGUGAAAUUCUUGGAUUUAUUAAAGACGAACUUAUGCGAAAGCAUUUGCCAAGGAUGUUUUC